AGCCGGGCGAGGCUCCGAGCCGGCGCGACACGUGCACCAGGAUGGUGGAGAUGACCGUGAAGAAGGCACCGGUUGGAAUGGAUGCGCCGAUGGUGGUGAAACGUGACGGCGACAUCUUCACGGUGUGCCAGUCGCCGCUGACCCACGAGUUCCUCUGGCGCAAAGCGGUCGCCUGCGAGUGCGGCGGUCCACCCCCGACCCGGAUGCACUGAGCACCGACGCCGACCAGCCUGCCGCCGCCCCUCACAGGGUACCGUCCGCCGCACUCUCCGUCGACGUCGUGUUGUGACGCGGUCUCAGCGCCGUGCGUUGUUCUCUGUUGUAGAUGGGGCGGGGCGGAGGCCCGAGACCCUGCCACCGGCGAUAGCCAGAUGUUGUUUUCUGCAGCGGGCGCAGCAGACGUGAGGCCUGGGGUUGUGUUAACGCCGGGGCCCUUGCGUUGUCCUCUGUAACAUACAUCAGCAGGGCUGGCAGAUCCUAUCUCCUGCCACCGGCAGUGCCCAGUUUUUUUUCUCUGUAGACGGUAUUGGAGGAGUUUGGUUUCCAUAUUUUUCUACGGUGAGGCCUGGAUGUGGUUCUUUGUGGGGAAAGCAGACGGGAUUAAGACUCGCGAACCUGGCGCCUCCAGCAGCAGGGUCCGACGUCCAACGGCCUAGAAUAGGAAACCAACCGGCCGAAACCAACCAGCCGGCCGACGUCCAAAGCCUGCAGCCUCGGACGUUGGCCGGCGCUAGGACCUGAGGUCCCACCACGCAGCGUCGGCCCGGUCAAUGCGUCACUCGAUGUAGCCGAAGCUGGAAGUCCGGCCCGCGCAUCCAGUGAUACAGACACCUGGUUGCUACCUUGGCUGCUACGCUAGUGGCCUGUCAUGCGACUAGGCUACGCUGUUGUUCGGCCAGCAGCUGGGCUAUGAAGCUGACGGGCUGCCCCCGCUCUGAGCUACGUUCUCGCCGCCUUAUGACAUGCAUGGCCACGUCGGGGGCCCGGUCUCGGACCUCUGGCGGCUGUCUGGUCGUCAGCUGGACCGGUCGCCGGUCGGAGUCGGCGGCGGGUGCCGGCCGGCCGCGGUUGGUGCCGCGGCACCGCGCGUCCGGCGGCCUGGUACGCCUGGGGAACGUCGCUGUGAUACUGUGGCCUGCUCGUCCUCGAGACGCUGGUGGCCGGGGCGGCACAUUCUGCACGUGCACGGCACAGAUACAGGCUCGUUUGGUGAUUGGGACCGGCUUUGGCCAUCCCGGAGGACACGGCUCGCUCUAGCCAGUCUUGUGACGGCAAGCGAAGGGUGGCCAUCGAGUUCAUAACUCACUCACCGGGAUUUCGUUUUGUAGAAGAUGUUGGUUGGAGACAGAGCUUUUUUCUUACUGUUACUGUGUGAAGAUACCAAAGUGCCUGGAGACGUUGCUCGUCGGGAAGGCGUUGUAACUCACCCCAGAUGCAAUUAGACUCUACCUUAGGCUGACAGAUCCCCGUUAAUCACACCGUCGUGUCGCGCAGGUCAGCUGUUAAGCCGCGUUGAGUCUGAAGGCAUAUGGCACUGCACGCCGCUCAUAUCUCAGUGCCUCAAAGCUAACGGCGGAGCACUUAUAUCUGCUCGUCGUUCUUUAAAAUCAUUUUGCAGUUCCUUUUGGGGCAGUUUCUAUUCUUUCCAAGCCUUCGCGACAGCCACGCAGCAGUGCUCACGGCGCUAAUGUGUAACUGUGCGAUGGCCUUACGUCAGCACAACUCUUAACUAUUGGGUUUCAGGCGCGAAUACUCUACAAGCGUGCGGGCAAUGGGUCUCUGCUCGCUUGCCCCCUGUUCAGUUUGUUCGCGGAACGAACUCGCCUCGUGCACGUGAAUGAUGGCCGAAAGGCGCUCCCGUGCGUACGUUGGCGUGUGCUGCGUAGUUGUGUGCAACAUCCACAACCUGCGUUUGAGCACGCUGAAGUUUUCUGUGAAUCGCCUGUCAGUUCCAAAUCAGUUUCUGGUUCCUGCACGGUAGAAUAUGAACGGAUCGCCCAUUGGUGUAUUCGACGUGUAUUGUCUUUGUUUCCACAUCAAUAAAUACAUUUGUUCUG
rnacentral:lncRNA from 1 species